rnacentral:rRNA from 1 species
GCUUAGACAUUAACCCAGACAGGCACCCUAAGCCCCCUGUCCGCCAGAGCAUUACAAGUAAAAAACUUAAAACUCAAAGGACUUGACGGCACUCCACCGCCCUAGAGGAGCCUGUCCUAUAAUCGAUAACCCACGCUAAACCCCACCUGCCCAUGCCCAACCCAGCCUAUAUACCGCCGUCUUCAGCCCGCCUCACAAGAGACCCAACAACGGGCCAGCCGACCCACCGCCAACACGUCAGGUCAAGGUGUAGCUAACGGGCAGGAAGAGAUGGGCUACAUUUUCUAACAUAGAAAAAACCGGCAGCGCCAUGAAACAGCACCAAAAGGAGGAUUUAAUAGUAAGCCGGACAAGACAUGCCCGACUGAACCCUGCCCUGGAGUGAGU